UGCCGGUGUUGUGUGCCUUCUGGUUUUUCCACCUACUGGUUUCCGAGCCUGUCCGGAUGCCGUGUGGGCCUGGCGGCCU